rnacentral:tRNA from 1 species
GCCCGGGCGGCUCAGUCGGUUGAGCGUCUGACUUCGGCUCAGGUCAUGAUCUUACAAUUCGUGGGUUUGAGCCCCACACCAGGCU